rnacentral:rRNA from 1 species
GACGAACGCUGGCGGCGUGCCUAACACAUGCAAGUCGAACGGAGAUGUUGAUUUCGGUUGACGUCUUAGUGGCGAACGGGUGAGUAACGCGUGAACAAUCUGACCUUAAGAGGGGGAUAACAACGAGAAAUCGUUGCUAAUACCGCAUAAGACCACAAUGCCGCAUGGCGAAGGGGUCAAAGGAGCAAUCCGCUUAAGGAGGGUUCGCGUCCCAUUAGGUAGUAGGUGAGGUAACGGCUCACCUAGCCGACGAUGGGUAGCCGAGCUGAGAGGCUGAUCGGCCACACUGGAACUGAGACACGGUCCAGACUCCUACGGGAGGCAGCAGUGGGGAAUAUUGGGCAAUGGCGCAAGCCUGACCCAGCAACGCCGCGUGAGGG